GGGGAGUUAGCUCAGUUGGUUAGAGCAGAGGACUCAUAAUCCUUUGGUCGCGGGUUCAAGUCCCGCACUCCCUACCA
rnacentral:tRNA from 1 species